CCUAAGGUAGCGAAAUUCCUUGUCGGGUAAGUUCCGACCCGCACGAAAGGCGUAACGAUUUGGGCACUGUCUCAACAACAGACUCGGUGAAAUUGUAAUUCCGGGGAAGAUGCCGGAUACCUGCGACAGGACGGAAAGACCCCAUGGAGCUUUACUGUAGCUUGACAUUGGGUCUUGGUACUACAUGUACAGGAUAGGUGGGAGGCUUUGAAACCAGGACGCCAGUUUUGGCGGAGCCAUCCUUGGGAUACCACCCUUGUAGUACUGGGACUCUAACCAUAGGCCAUGAAUCUGGUCUUGGGACACUGUCAGGUGGGCAGUUUGACUGGGGCGGUCGCCUCCCAAAAGGUAACGGAGGCGCUCAAAGGUUCUCUCAGUACGGUCGGAAAUCGUACGUAGAGUGUAAAGGCAAAAGAGAGCUUGAUUGCAAGACAUACAGGUCGAGCAAGGAUGAAAAUCGGACUUAGUGAUCCGGUGGUUCUGCGUGGAAGGGCCAUCGCUCAACGGAUAAAAGCUACCCUGGGGAUAACAGGCUUAUCUCCCCCAAGAGUCCACAUCGACGGGGAGGUUUGGCCCCUCGAUGUCGGCUCAUCACAUCCUGGGGCUGUAGUAGGUCCCAAGGGUUGGGCUGUUCGCCCAUUAAAGUGGUACGCGAGCUGGGUUCAGAACGUCGUGAGACAGUUCGG
rnacentral:rRNA from 1 species